GAUGAACGCUGGCGGCGUGCCUAAUACAUGCAAGUCGAGCGAACUGAUUAGAAGCUUGCUUCUAUGACGUUAGCGGCGGACGGGUGAGUAACACGUGGGCAACCUGCCUGUAAGACUGGGAUAACUUCGGGAAACCGAAGCUAAUACCGGAUAGGAUCUUCCCCUUCAUGGGAGAUGAUUGAAAGAUGGUUUCGGCUAUCACUUACAGAUGGGCUCGCGGUGCAUUAGCUAGUUGGUGAGGUGACGGCUCACCAAGGCAACGAUGCAUAGCCGACCUGAGAGGGUGAUCGGCCACACUGGGACUGAGACACGGCCCAGACUCCUACGGGAGGCAGCAGUAGGGAAUCUUCCGCAAUGGACGAAAGUCUGACGGAGCAACGCCGCGUGAGUGAUGAAGGCUUUCGGGUCGUAAAACUCUGUUGUUAGGGAAGAACAAGUACAAGAGUAACUGCUUGUACCUUGACGGUACCUAACCAGAAAGCCACGGCUAACUACGUGCCAGCAGCCGCCGUAAGAC
rnacentral:rRNA from 1 species